GUGAGGAAUAUUGCGCAAUGGAGGCAACUCUGACGCAGCCAUGCCGCGUGCAGGAAGAAGGCGCUACGCGUUGUAAACUGCUUUUAACCGGGAAGAAACCCCAGGACGUGUCCUGGGUUGACGGUACCGGAGGAAUAAGCACCGGCUAACUUCGUGCCAGCAGCCGCGGGAAUACGAAGGGUGCAAGCGUUAUCCGGAUUCAUUGGGUUUAAAGGGUGCGUAGGCGGAGCGUUAAGUCAGUGGUGAAAUCCUGCGGCUUAACUGUAGACUUGCCAUUGAUACUGGCGCUCUUGAGUGCGCUUGAAGUGGGCGGAAUGUGCCGUGUAGCGGUGAAAUGCUUAGAUAUGGCACAGAACACCAAUUGCGAAGGCAGCUCACUAAGGCGAUACUGACGCUGAGGCACGAAAGCGUGGGGAUCGAACAGGAUUAGAAACCCGUGUAGUCC
rnacentral:rRNA from 1 species